GUCAACGAUAUAACUGACGCAGUGACUGUCUAUAAACAGAAAAAUUCCUGUGAUUAAGUGACGUCACAUUUUUGCAGUCGAGAAAAUAUGAACGAAGACGUAGAUGAUGUUUUUUCGGAUGAUGAUUUACCCGAUAUUUUAGAAAAUAACAAUGAAUCGGGUCCAGAAGAAACUGAUAUUCGUAAAGGUGCUAUUGUUUGGGCAGAAUUUCGAAAGAUCUAUUGGCCAGCACUCGUUCGAAGUGUCAACAAGAGAAAUAGAAAAGCAUGUGUUUGGUACGAUUCUCCCAAAAAAUGUUUUAAACUUCCCUUUAAAAAAAUCUUAAGUUUUCACGACAAAAAAAUCAAUGAUAAAAUCAAGGAAGAGGCCAAAAAUAGUCCGAUGAAAGAGCACCAUGAUAAAGUAUUAAAUCGAACAUUAACAUAUCUUCAUCGAAAAUCCCUUGGAAUAAAUGAUGACCCUGCUGAUUAUUUUGAUUUUGAAAAGCCUUAUUUCGCAUUAUGUUUGUCAUCGGCAUCUGUGAACAAUGAUAAAACUGGUAUUGAGCGAAAUACAGAAGAAUCGGAUGAUGAUGAUGAAGAUUCCGCAGAAAGUAUACCAGACGAUGAGAUGAUUACAGAUUUUAGAAACAGUCUUUGUGAAACCGAUGAUUCAAUUGAAGACGAAAUGGUAAAUUCACUUGUUGAUUGUAUAAAGAUGGGAAAUACUAAUGAGCAUUUGUUACAAGUAAGGUCGGGUAAAAUACCCAGUACAUGGAAAGCAGUUUAUGAUGAAGCUGUAAAAACAAAUCUUAAAAAAUUAUGGUAUAUAGAUACUUAUGGUCCAGUGAAAAACUUUGAAAAACUGAAAGAAAUCUGUUUAUAUUUGUUAAAUUUUUAUGAGAGAGUUGUUGAAAGUGGUAAAUGUGAAAUGACUGCCUAUGUAAUGUCUGUAUGGUUACCUGAAUCCAUUACUAAAGCAAUUUCUAUUGUUAAGAAAGUACCAUUAGAAACUGCUAGAGAGUUAUUUUUAAAUAAUCAUAAAAUAGAAACUACAAGUGUUAAACGGGAAUUAAUUUUUUCCACAGAAGGCGAAGUGUUUAAUGAAGCUGUAAAUCAGUUUACUGAUAAAAUAUCUCCAAGUACAGGAGAAAUUUUGACUACAGAAAGUACACAUGGUAAUGCAUCGCAAAAAGUUGUUGAAGAUACCACUGACAGCUCAUUUAACAAAGAUCCAAGCAGUACUAAAGUUUUGUCUCCAAUUUCUGAAUGUGAGCGAACAGGUAAUAAAGCAUCGUCUGUUGUAAGGAGAAAAAAAGUGCCAAAAAAGAGAAAAACUGCAUGGUCAAGAGGCAUACUCCCAAAAAGGAAAAAGAAAUCUAAAAUAGCAUGAUAAUACUAUCUAGUUUGCCAUCGAGGUAUCUCUUGAAUGUGUAUUUUUUUAGAGAAAUUUUUUCAAGUUCAUAUAUACAAACAUGAGAUAAUUAGAGAUUAAUUUGUAUUUUGCAAGUAUGCAAUAUGUGCCGCUGCUAAGAUUUAAGAAUUUCAGUUAUGCAGUUAUGAAAUAUUAAUACAAAGCAAAGUGCUCACGUGAAAUGAAGUUCUUAAAAGCUAUGUGUAAGCAACAGUAACGUUUCUGCUGAGAAGUGUGUGAAAUUCAUAUCCAUUUCCUCUGAAUUAUUGUUAGAUGCAAAGAAGAGUCCAUUGGCUUUACUUGCUCAAACAUGUAGUAAUAUUGGUGCUGAUAAUCCAAAUAAUAAACCUAUUAUUUCUGGUUUAGAGAAAUCUAAGGAUAAUAACAAUGAUUCCAAGAAGGAC
rnacentral:misc_RNA from 1 species